CUCCACCCAGCUCAGAAACAAACUGCCUCAACCGGCCAAAGAACCAAACCCUAAGAGAAGUUAACCUAGCUGAACUGGUGAUCCCUCAGAAACACUGUGUCUUGCAAAAAGCCAGUUGAACAGAGGAGGGAUUCAUCCAUCAUGGAUACCACUCCUCCAUCAUGAGGACUCUCCAGAGAGAAAGUACAUCAAGGCCUUGCAGCUUCAGGUGCUAAAAUUGGAAGCCUUAUACUAUAGCGGUUGCCCUCCUUUCCAAAAACAAACACUCCAAGGAACCAUCACCUCCCUGGUACUAGACGUCCCGUCUCUCCUACGGCGGUCAUGAACUCUAAUGCGAGAUUCAGUCAUCGAGCUUGCAGUAUGCUAAUCCUCUCAGAUUUUUUUUUCUCGAGCAUCUGUGUACCCAUCACCUCCACCCUGUAUUUGUACAGUUGCAUACUGUGUUAUGAAUGGUGAAUACCCUAAUUCCAGAGCCACAAAAGGGUGUCAUUAAUUUUAGCAGCCCUUCAGGUGAGGCAGGUUUAAGGUGAAUACAUCCCCCACAGAAUCCUACUCAGCUAAUCCAACGACGGAUGUAAGUUUCCAACGAAAUGUGAAAUCCAUGCGACCAAAUCUCAGACGCAUUUAAGUGCAGAUCGUGUGCCAGAAAAUUCUCUCUAGACCCUAAGAACACAAGGACGAAAUCGAGAAACGGUCCUGCCCUCGCCUCACGUAACUCACAACUUCAACGGAGGGGGGAGGAGCGACAAAACUUUGCAUUUCCAAAAGAACGUAAGCUCGCGCUGGGCAGACUUUCCACGUGUCUUUGCACCGCCAGCGCCUAGCACAGAGCCUGGCAUAACUAAAGCUUGGAACGAAUAUGCACGCUCGGGGAGGAAGGGGGCCUUCGCAACUGUGGGGGGGCGAACAAAGGCUUCCUGAAGGAGGGGCUGACCCACGGGCCAGAGGGGCGGGCGGAGGCACAGCACGAGGUAACAACGCCCCGAUGCGGGACCCCAGGCCCCCCGCGCUCCGGCUCUCCUCCAGUGUGAAGAGAAAAACCAGACUCUUUUGAAUAAUUACAAGUCUCUACCAGGAGGCUCUGAAAAGUUCUAGGACUUGAUGCAAUCAGCAUAAUGUCAUCCACAAACCAGAGGAUCUGGAGAAGGACAACAUAGUCACAGGCACUUUUGAUGAUCAUACAUCUUCCUGCUUCAUAUAUCACGUAAUGUUUAUUAUCAUAAAAUAACUAAACAGAAUUUAUUGUUAUUGUUGCUGUAUCUUCCAAGAAAUGUUGAAUGAUCUAGAUGUAUACA